CGGAGGAUCCAAGCGUUAUCCGGAUUUAUUGGGUUUAAAGGGUGCGUAGGCGGCUUUUUAAGUCAGGGGUGAAAGACGGUAGCUCAACUAUCGCAGUGCCCUUGAUACUGAAGAGCUUGAAUGUACUUGAGGUAGGCGGAAUGUGACAAGUAGCGGUGAAAUGCAUGGAUAUGUCACAGAACACCAAUUGCGAAGGCAGCUUACUAAAGUAUGAUUGACGCUGAGGCACGAAAGCGUGGGGAUCAAACAGGAUUAGAUACCUUGGUAGUCCACGCCCUAAACGAUGAACACUCGAUGUUGGCGAUAUACGGUCAGCGUCUAAGCGAAAGCGUUAAGUGUUCCACCUGGGGAGUACGCCCGCAGGGGUG
rnacentral:rRNA from 1 species